CUGUCGCCCAAAGAUUUGAGUUUCCCCUUUUUCCUAUUGUUCUUCCCCCCUUCAUUGAUUCUUUUUCCACUUAACACUCAAAUUUGCAGGUGUAGGAAGUAAAGAAAUUGAAUCCCUCCGUCGAGCUCGUCAGGAGACCUGAUUUUCAAUUGUGGAAAUUAGAGGAAAAACAGAGUCUGUGUGUGUGAAUUUUGGGUAUUCUGAGGUCAUUGCCAAUCUGAGUUCAUCACCUUUUUCUAUCAAUUCUGAGCUGUUACCGCAUUUUGCAAUUUGUCACAGUCGCCAACUCUCACUCGUCAAGAAGAGCUCAACCCCGCACCUCUGUGAAUGGCCGACUCUGCUAAGUCUACGCAAGUAUCCAACUCUACUGCUUCAGCGGUCUUGGAGGCACGAAUAUUAUAAUGGGUUUCAAAGCUUUUGAUGAAAUCAAGUAUUAGGUGGAAGACAUACUGGACUGAGUAUGGAGAUGUUUGAUGAAAUGUCUGAGAAAAAUUGGUUCAUGAGAAUUGGAGAUUUUCUGCUCUUUUUGCAAAAUGGACCGAUGGUUUCUUAUUUUCCUUCAUAAUUUCUCUUGAUUUCUGUUUCUUGUUUUUGGGUGUUGAGAUUUUUUGGUUUUUCUCCCUGAAACUUGGUAAAUUGUUGGUUACUUAAUCAUGAUAUUUAAUUAUUUGUCAUAAUUCAAAUUUCUUGCUAAAAUACGCAAAUAGUUUGCUAGAUGAAUAAUUUGUUUUAUUUUCCUUGCUGUAGUUUUUGAAUAAAUUGUUCGCUUUUCUUGCCAUAAUUCUGGUUAUAAUUGCUGUUUUUUCUUAAAAAAAACUUUUUGGUUAACCAAUUAAAAACCUAAUCUUAAACAUGUUGAUUGUGCUGAAAACACUAAUGUCUGCAAAUAUGCGCCGUGUUUUGUAAAAGGGCGCCAUACACCAUAUGCUAUAGCUUUUCAGCACCUUUGUGCGCUUUAGACUUUAGGGCAAUCAAAAUGUAGUUAGAGAGGGAACUCUUUUGGUUCAUUGUAGUUAUUGAUGGAUUUACUGGACUACUUAUAUACACAUGUGACGUCAUC